rnacentral:rRNA from 1 species
CAUGCAGUCGAGCGGAUGAAAGGAGCUUGCUCCUGGAUUCAGCGGCGGACGGGUGAGUAAUGCCUAGGAAUCUGCCUGGUAGUGGGGGACAACGUUUCUAAAGGAACGCUAAUACCGCAUACGUCCUACGGGAGAAAGCAGGGGACCUUCAGGCCUUGCGCUAUCAGAUGAUCCUAGGUCGGAUUAGCUAGUUGGUGAGGUAAUGGCUCACCAAGGCGACGAUCCGUAACUGGUCUGAGAGGAUGAUCAGUCACACUGGAACUGAGACACGGUCCAGACUCCUACGGGAGGCAGCAGUGGGGAAUAUUGGACAAUGGGCGAAAGCCUGAUCCAGCCAUGCCGCGUGUGUGAAGAAGGUCUUCGGAUUGUAAAGCACUUUAAGUUGGGAGGAAGGGCAGUAAAUUAAUACUUUGCUGUUUUGACGUUACCGACAGAAUAAGCACCGGCUAACUCUGUGCCAGCAGCCGCGGUAAUACAGAGGGUGCAAGCGUUAAUCGGAAUUACUGGGCGUAAAGCGCGCGUAGGUGGUUUGUUAAGUUGGAUGUGAAAUCCCCGGGCUCAACCUGGGAACUGCAUCCAAAACUGGCAAGCUAGAGUAUGGUAGAGGGUGGUGGAAUUUCCUGUGUAGCGGUGAAAUGCGUAGAUAUAGGAAGGAACACCAGUGGCGAAACGCGACCACCUGGACUGAUACUGACACUGAGGUGCGAAAGCGUGGGGGAGCAAACAGGAUUAGAUACCCUGGUAGUCCACGCCGUAAACGAUGUCAACUAGCCGUUGGGAGCCUUGAGCUCUUAGUGGCGCAGCUAACGCAUUAAGUUGACCGCCUGGGGAGUACGGCCGCAAGGUUAAAACUCAAAUGAAUUGACUGGGGCCCGCACAAGCGGUGGAGCAUGUGGUUUAAUUCGAAGCAACUCGAAGAACCUUACCAGG